rnacentral:rRNA from 1 species
UACGAACCGUCCAAACGUUAUUCGGAAUCACUGGGCUUAAAGGGUGCGUAGGCGGCCCGGUAAGUUGGGUGUGAAAUCCCACGGCUCAACCGUGGAAUUGCGCCCAAAACUGUCGGGCUCGAGGGAGAUAGAGGUAAGCGGAACUUAGGGUGGAGCGGUGAAAUGCGUUGAUAUCCUAAGGAACACCGGUGGCGAAAGCGGCUUACUGGGUCUCUUCUGACGCUGAGGCACGAAAGCUAGGGGAGCGAAC